GUCACUCAGGACAUUACAAAGGAGCUCUGUGUCAGAAGCUAGGAUUAAAGAACAAAUACAGAACAAAUUAUUCCUCCAGCACCCCUACUGCAAGGAUUUUAAGAACUCUAUCUCAGGAUAAAGACCUGAGGGUCACAAGAUGUACAUUGCUGGCCUCAGCUGGAUUUUCCCAGGGUCAGGUGCCCAUUCCUACCUAAUCAAAGGUCAUGAGUCCUCACACGUUUUCAAGAGUUUGGAAAAUGAUCUCCCUUGCCAGACUGCCAAUCUUCAAAGGGAGUUCUAUAUGUGGAAGAAAAAGAAAAAAUUUAUGUGCAUUUACCCUGUUUAAUACACUCAUCAUAUAUAGUAUUUUUGCAACAGCAAAAAUAACACUCUUAAUUUAGUAUGUAAUUAUAUAUGUCAUAUACUUAAUAUACAAAAUAUUUUCCUUGCUAACCUAUACGAUUUCAAAUGCCUGGAACAAUAGAUAAUUCAUGUGAUUACUUGAGAGUAUGUAAAUUUUAAUAUGUUAACAUAUACUGGCAAAGUUCUAAAAGUUGCGAUUUUAUGGGAGGCCAAAUUAUGUACAUAUUAGUUUGUCUGAAGACUUGAGCCAAAAGGAAACUAAUACACUUCUGAGCUACAAUAUGGACAUAAUGUCAUGAAGCAGGAACAUUAUGCUCCAUUUCAGGACACUUCUGCUGACCUGCACCUAGAAUACCCUGUUCUGUGCUGAUGACUCAGAUGUAAGAAUGAUGAAGUGCAUCGGCUGGCAUGCAGAGAACAAUAAGAAAAAGAACUGAGUUGUGGGAAGACAUGAGGAAAGGACAUGAGGCUCUUAAUAACAGCUGCCAAGUACUGCAGUCGGGAAUCUGGAGCAAAGUGAUUCAAUUCUGACCACUGCCUGUGAGUAAAUGGGAUUUUAUUUUUCAAUACUUUUGUUUAAUAGUACCUCCUUCAUUACAUGUGAACAGCACUCCAGGACAGUAAAUCAUGAAAUGGGAAUAAAGCCUGUAAUUUUAAUUAACAUAUUUUAAAAUGUUUCUAAUUUGUAUGCAUUUGAUCAAAUUUUCAUUUGCAUUGAGCUAUUUUUUUUCUUUCUCAUGUAAUGUUUGACAUUACCAUUUCUUUCUUUAAUGAAAUACUAAUAUUUAAUAAAAUAUAUUACAUCCU
rnacentral:lncRNA from 10 species